rnacentral:tRNA from 1 species
GGGGUUGUGGCUCAAUUGAUAGAGUACACGCCUAGCAUGUGUGAGGCACUGAGUUCAAUCCUCAGCACCACA